rnacentral:rRNA from 1 species
GGAAAAACCGUACCGCAAACCGACACAGGUAGGCAGGGUGAGAAUCCCAAGGCGCUUGAGAGAACUCGGGUGAAGGAACUAGGCAAAAUGGCACCGUAACUUCGGGAGAAGGUGCGCCCUUUGGUGUGGUCACGUGCGUGACUGAGCAUCGAAGGGUCGCAGUAACCUGGCCGCUGCGACUGUUUAUCAAAAACACAGCACUCUGCAAACACGAAAGUGGACGUAUAGGGUGUGACGCCUGCCCGGUGCUGGAAGGUUAAUUGAUGGGGUCAGCCGCAAGGCGAAGCUCUUGAUCGAAGCCCCAGUAAACGGCGGCCGUAACAAUAACGGUCCUAAGGUAGCGAAAUUCCUUGUCGGGUAAGUUCCGACCUGCACGAAUGGCGUAACGACAGCGGCGCUGUCUCCACCCGAGACUCAGUGAAAUUGAAAUCGCUGUGAAGAUGCAGCGUUCCCGCGGCAAGACGGAAAGACCCCGUGAACCUUUACUAUAGCUUUACACUGAACGUUGAGUUCUUCUGUGUAGGAUAGGUGGGAGGCUAUGAAACCAGGACGCUAGUUCUGGUGGAGCCAUCCUUGAAAUACCACCCUGAAGUGCUUGACGUUCUAACCUAGGCCCGUAAUCCGGGUCAGGGACCGUGUAUGGUGGGUAGUUUGACUGGGGCGGUCUCCUCCCAAAGAGUAACGGAGGAGCACGAAGGUACGCUCAGCGCGGUCGGACAUCGCGCACUGUGUGCAAAGGCAUAAGCGUGCUUGACUGCGAGAUCGACGGAUCAAGCAGGUACGAAAGUAGGUCUUAGUGAUCCGGUGGUUCUGUAUGGAAGGGCCAUCGCUCAACGGAUAAAAGGUACUCCGGGGAUAACAGGCUGAUACCGCCCAAGAGUUCAUAUCGACGGCGGUGUUUGGCACCUCGAUGUCGGCUCAUCACAUCCUGGGGCUGUAGCCGGUCCCAAGGGUAUGGCUGUUCGCCAUUUAAAGUGGUACGCGAGCUGGGUUCAGAACGUCGUGAGACAGUUCGGUCCCUAUCUGUCGUGGGCGUUGGAGAUUUGAGGGGGGCUGCUCCUAGUACGAGAGGACCGGAGUGGACGUUCCGCUGGUGUUCGGGUUGUCAUGCCCAUGGCAUUGCCCGGUAGCUACGAACGGAAGUGAUAACCGCUGAAAGCAUCUAAGCGGGAAGCACGCCCCAAGAUGAGAUCUCCCGAGAGCUUGACUCUCCUAAAGGCACCAUCAAGACUAGGUGGUUGAUAGGUCAGGUGUGGAAGCGCAGCAAUGCGUUGAGCUAACUGAUACUAAUGAGCCGUGAGGCUUGACCAA